rnacentral:rRNA from 1 species
CGCUAUCACUCCUACGGGAGGCAGCAGUGGGGAAUAUUGCACAAUGGGGGAAACCCUGAUGCAGCCAUGCCGCGUGUGUGAAGAAGGCCUUCGGGUUGUAAAGCACUUUCAGUAGGGAGGAAGGUAGUGUAGUUAACACCUGCACUAUUUGACGUUACCUACAGAAGAAGCACCGGCUAACUCCGUGCCAGCAGCCGCGGUAAUACAGAGGGUGCGAGCGUUAAUCGGAAUUACUGGGCGUAAAGCGCAUGCAGGCGGCCUGUUAAGUCAGAUGUGAAAGCCCGGGGCUUAACCUCGGAAUUGCAUUUGAAACUGGCAGGCUAGAGUCUUGUAGAGGGGGUAGAAUUUCAGGUGUAGCGGUGAAAUGCGUAGAGAUCUGAAGGAAUACCAGUGGCGAAGGCGGCCCCCUGGACAAAGACUGACGCUCAGAUGCGAAAGCGUGGGGAGCAAACAGGAUUAGAUACCCUGGUAG